ACUAACAUUUACAAUUAAUUAUGCUUAACUCUAGACCUAUGUUUGCCGCUGCAACGGGUACGGAGUUUGCUGACGCUGCGCUUCCCACAGGUUGGCACUUCGCUGACGUUGCGCUUCCCAUAGGUUGCCACUACACGUGUCGCAGUCUCAGCGAUUUAGUGGUAUCAUAUUAUUUUACUUUGUAUCAUACGAUAUUACUGCAUCAUAUGAUACUUUUGAAUGUAUGGGGUGCUAACUGACAUACUAGACUUAUAUUUCAUAGCGGACGGAAAAUUAGAAAUCCUGCGUUUGGAGUUGACGAAACCAUAGAACAAUUUUGGAUUGCGUAUAAUAUUAUUUUUUGCUUUAUUUAUAUAAUUAUUAUAAAAUAUUUUGUUAAAUUCAGCAAAUUCUCGACGCAAUUUAGAAUAUAUUGAAUAGUCAGCAACUAAACCAGUUUUUUAAAAAGUUUAAAAGCACGAGAUUUUCUAUUUUUUAAUUUACAUAAUUCUUUCGAAAACCAUAAAGUAGAACUUAUUUUUUGAAUAACAACAAUGUUCGAUAUUUUAACUUCGUUGGAGGUAGUUCGAAAAACAUAAAUAUUUUAACGUCGUUGGAGGUAGUUGUUUUGGUCGCCUGGUUGACAUUGCUGUGCCUCGAUUCAUAGCCGCUAUUUUAUUCAUACAGGUCUUACAAUUUUGGCUCGAGGUACUUAUCCGGCUCGAAGGGCCAAAUGUUUAAAACUCAAUAAAGACUUUGUCAACCUUACCACUGUUGGGGGGAAAUGAACAAGUCUUUUACCGAGUGAGAAAUCUUUCAUUCUAAUUUUAUUUUUAAAUUUGUAAGCCGUAUAUACUAUUUUUGAAGUCUUAGUUAUCUAAUUAAAUAUAUGAGUAUGUACGGCACAUAUGGUUGUUUUCAAGUGCAUAUGUGCAUAUGUAAUCAAUUGCCCAAACCUAAAUAAAUACAUAUGUUUAUAUUAUUGUAUAUUUGAGUGCAUGCUAGGGAUGCUCGAUGAACAUCGAUGUUCGAUGAUCAUCGAUGUUGAAAGCAAAAACAUCGAUGUUUUAAUAUCGAUGUUGUCAUACGAAAAAUAUCGCAACAUCGAUGUUAACGGAAUCAAUCAUCGAUGUCAACUUACGGCCUCAUGCACGACACGGACGUCCACCAAACCAAUGCAACUUAGGAAACAAAUUAUGUCUUCUAUGAACGCAGCCACAAAUCAAAUUUUUUAGUUGUGAACUUCACAAACUGAUUUGUGGCUGCGUUCACAAUGUGAACGCGUCAUUCCGGUCGUUCCCUUCAUUCGUUCGUUCUUCGUGAUUCGUCUUGCACAUUUACGCUCACUCCCACUUCUAUUUGUUUGUUAAUAAAAAAUUGUGUUGUGCGUACCUAUUUAAAUUUACUGAUUUGUUCGUAUUCUACUGGUGUUGUGCAUAUACAUACAUAUAUAUAUUACAUGGAAUACAACAAUAUGUUAUAAAUGCAUAUAAAUUAUAAAUGAAUAGAAUUAAAAAUGCCGUCAAAAAGUCGCUUCUGGGAAUUUUUUGAAAAACUUGAAAAUAACGAAGCCAAAUUAAUCUAAAAUUUUUAAAUUGAAUUUCAGCUUUUUAUAUUUUUAUAAGAUAUUUGACAAUCAUAUACUUACUUCCCCAUUAAACUGUGAAAUUUAAUAUUUUAUUUUUAAAGUUGUAAUAACAUUUAUUUAUAAUUUGUACUUCAUGUUUUUAAAGAUAUGAAUAAAUAAAUUCAUUUAAAAUGAAA